rnacentral:rRNA from 1 species
AUUGAACGCUGGCGGCAUGCCUUACACAUGCAAGUCGAACGGCAGCACGGGAGCAAUCCUGGUGGCGAGUGGCGAACGGGUGAGUAAUGUAUCGGAACGUGCCCAGUCGUGGGGGAUAACGCAGCGAAAGCUGUGCUAAUACCGCAUACGAUCUAUGGAUGAAAGCGGGGGGAUCGCAAGACCUCGCGCGAUUGGAGCGGCCGAUAUCAGAUUAGCUAGUUGGUGGGGUAAAGGCUCACCAAGGCGACGAUCUGUAGCUGGUCUGAGAGGACGACCAGCCACACUGGAACUGAGACACGGUCCAGACUCCUACGGGAGGCAGCAGUGGGGAAUUUUGGGACAAUGGGCGCAAGCCUGAUCCAGCAAUGCCGCGUGCAGGAUGAAGGCCUCGGUGUAAGACUCUUGUCUAGGAGAAGUAGUG